GACGAACGCUGGCGGCGUGCCUAAUACAUGCAAGUAGAACGCUGAAGCUUGGUGCUUGCACCGAGCGGAUGAGUUGCGAACGGGUGAGUAACGCGUAGGUAACCUGCCUGGUAGCGGGGGAUAACUAUUGGAAACGAUAGCUAAUACCGCAUAAGAGUAGAUGUUGCAUGACAUUUGCUUAAAAGGUGCAAUUGCAUCACUACCAGAUGGACCUGCGUUGUAUUAGCUAGUUGGUGAGGUAACGGCUCACCAAGGCAACGAUACAUAGCCGACCUGAGAGGGUGAUCGGCCACACUGGGACUGAGACACGGCCCAGACUCCUACGGGAGGCAGCAGUAGGGAAUCUUCGGCAAUGGACGGAAGUCUGACCGAGCAACGCCGCGUGAGUGAAGAAGGUUUUCGGGUCGUAAAGCUCUGUUGUAAGAGAAGAACGAGUGUGAGAGUGGAAAGUUCACACUGUGACGGUAUCUUACCAGAAAGGGACGGCUAACUACGUG
rnacentral:rRNA from 1 species